UGAUGAAGUUGGUUCAGCAUGCAGCAAACUCGACAGCAUGCAGGCCAUGAAGACCAAGUCAUGCAGGAGCUGCUGGAACGAGCUGAACUAUUCCUAUUUUGUUCAUCUUGUAAUCUUAAGUUAAUGUAAUGUACUUUAGUUCAUUUAGAACUAUGUUAGGUUUAUGAUUGAUGUAAUUUUGAUGACAAUUGAGCUGUUAAGUCAGCUUUGUUUAAGUGUGCAAGCUUAGUUUUUCAAGUUUCAAUGUAUUAGUGGUAGUAGGUGAUGAUUAGGUAUAAUUAUGCAGAUUUUGACAAGCAAAUUGCUUAUUUUAUGUAUUGGCAUUAUGCCAUUGUUCAACAUAUGAAUGAAGUUCAGUUUGUUCAUCAACUUUUCUCUUCAUUUUUCUUAGCUUUUCUUCCUUCCUCUUGCUCGAAUUCUCUUGUUUGCUCAGCAAGUCACGAGACUUGCUUAACAAGUCUGCACUGAAUCUGUUAGUUUCAGUUACAACACCAACAAUUGGUAUCUAGAGCCUAUUUCUUAAGGGAUCUGUUACACAAAUCCAUGGCUUCAUCAAGCUUUUCACCAGCUGCACCUCAAGUCUUCAAUGGAGAAGGCUAUCACAUAUGGGUGGUCAAAAUGAAGACCUACCUGCAGGCUUUCGAUCUGUGGGAGGUGGUCAACUCUGAUGUUGAACCAGAGCCACUUAGAGCUAAUCCAACAGUGGCUCAGAUCAGGCAGCAUGCUGAUGAAAGGACCAAGAGGCACAAGGCUAUGUCUUGCAUCCAAAACUCAGUGUCUGAUGUGAUUUUCACAAGGAUUAUGGCCUGUGAAUCACCAAAACAGGCCUGGGACAAGUUGCAGGAAGAGUUUCAAGGGACAGAGAGGACAAGGCAGCAACAGUUGUUAAACUUGAGGAGAGAUUUCGAGAAUUUGAAGAUGAAGGAAGAAGAAACUGUCAAGAAAUAUUCUGACAGGAUUAUGGCUGUGGUUAACAGCAUCAGGCUCCUUGGAGAGCAGUUCAAUGAAGCUAGGAUAGUGGAGAAGGUUAUAGCAACUCUGCCUGAGAGGUAUGAGGCAAAAAUCUCAUCUCUCGAGGACUCAAGGGACCUGUCCACCAUCUCCCUGACAUAGUUGACCAAUGCUCUAUAUGCUCAAGAGCAGAGGAGAGCAAGCAGACUGGAGGAGCACCAAGAAGGUGCCUUUCAGGCAAGAACAAAUACUGCAUACAAAGGCAAGAAGGCUUGGAGAGACAAGCCAAAGGAUGAUGCUGCAAGGAGAGAAGGUCAGACUUGCAAGCACUGCAGAAAGGCUGGUCAUUCAGAAGAAAAAUGCUGGUUUAAUCCAGAUGCUGUGUGUCAGCAUUGUAAGAAAAAGGGUCAUGUUGAGAGAGUCUGUAAGAGCAAGGCCAAAUCAAGGCGCAAUCAGUCUCAACAGAUGAAAGCUGAGGCUCGAGUAGCUAAGGAGGACAGUGACCAAGAGGAGCAAGUCUUUACUGUGUCAUGCUCAGCUGCUCAGGAAAGGUCCUCAUCUGGUUGGCUCCUAGACAGUGGAUGCACCAACCACAUGACACCUGAUGCUGCAAUCUUCAAAUCUUUAGACAGAAGCUGCAGAACUAAAGUCAAGAUAGGAAAUGAUCAUUUUAUUCAAGCUGAAGGCAAGGGUGAUGUUCUGAUAUGCACCCUUACAGGUACCAAAGUGAUUUCAAAUGUGCUGUUGGUGCCUGAAAUUGACAGAAACCUGCUCAGCAUAGCUCAGUUGCUGGAAAAAGGUUAUUCAAUUGUGUUUAAAGACCACCAAUGCCAAAUCAGUGAUCCAAGUGGAUCCAAACUGAUGGCAGUCCCUAUGGCUGAUAAGAGCUUUGUGGUUGACUGGAUAAAAAAGUCAGACAUUGCCUACAGAGCCACUUCAGAUGAAUCCAAGCUGUGGCAUCAAAGACUGGGACAUGCCAACUUCAGAUCGAUGGCCCGAAUGAUCAGAGAAGACCUGGCUGAAAACUUCAUCAACUCAGUGGACCAUGAUGAUGUAUGUGAAGUAUGUCAGCUAGGAAAGCAGGCCAGACUCCCAUUUCCCUCGAAUCAAGCCUGGAGAGUCUCUGAAAAACUCUAACUGGUGCAUACUGAUGUGUGUGGCCCUAUGAAGACUGAGUCAUUAAGUGGAAACAGGUAUUUCAUACUGUUCAUUGAUGAUUUCUCGAGAUAUUGCUGGAUUUACUUCUUAAAACAGAAAUCAGAGGUGGCCACUGUGUUUUGGAAGUUCAAAACUGCUGCUGAGACUGAAACAGGCUGUAAGGUGAAGACCAUAAGGUCUGAUAAUGGGACUGAGUACACCUCAGCUCAGUUCCAAGCCUUCUGUGAUAAGGCAAGCAUCAAACAUCAACUUACCAACACAUAUACACCUUAGCAGAAUGGGGUAAGUGAAAGGAAGAAUAGGAGUUUGAUGGAUAUGGCCAGGUGCUUAAUGAUUCAGAAGAAUCUGCCUAAAGCACUAUGGGCAGAAGCAUUUAACACUGCAACAUACAUUCAAAAUAGACUUUCAACCAAGGCUUUGGAUCAAAAGACCCCAUUCAAGGCCUGGUUUAGCUUCAAGCCAUCACUGGCUCAUCUGAAGGUCUUUGGAUGCAUCUGUUAUGCACAUGUACCUGCUGUUAAAAGGGACAAAUUGUCUGAAAGGGCUCGACCUGGUGUUUUGGUGGGCUAUAGCACUGUUAAGAAGGGCUAUAGGAUUUUAGAUCCUUCAACAAACAAAGUGUCAGUAAGCAGGGAUGUGGUAUUUGAUGAGAGGUCAUGUUGGAACUGGGAAAGACAUGAACCUGAAGAAGUUUCUGAAGAACUUGCAGCAGACCAAGCUGAGCCAAACCAAAAUGUCCCUGAAAUGGAUAUUGAUGAUGAACCAGUCAGAGGAACAAGGCCAUUGGCUGAAAUUUAUGAAAGGGCUCAUGUAGCCAUAGCUGAACCAAGCAACUUUGAAGAGGCUGAGGCUCAGCAAGGGUGGAAGCAGGCAAUGGCUGAGGAGAUCAGCAUGAUUGAGAAGAACCAGACCUGGAAAUUGGUUGAAAGGCCAGUCAAAAGGAAGGUAAUUGGGGUGAAAUGGGUGUACAAAGCCAAGUAGAAUGCUGAUGGUACCUUGAACAAGCUGAAAGCAAGGCUAGUUGUCAAGGGGUUUAGUCAGAGGUAUGGCUUGGACUACCUGGAGACCUUUGCACCAGUGGCCAGGCUCGACACCAUCAGACUGCUGAUUGCCUUAGCAGCACAGCUCGAAUGGAAGAUCCAUCAACUUGAUGUGAAAUCAGCCUUUCUGAAUGGUUUCUUAGAUGAAGACAUCUAUGUUGAACAACCACAAGGGUUUGAAAUAGCUGGCAGAGAGCAUAUGGUCUACAAACUGAAGAAGGCCCUAUAUGGAUUAAAACAGGCUCCAAGGGCCUGGUAUAGCAGAAUUGAUGGCUACUUGACUGAUCUGGCAUUCGAUCGAAGCAAGAGUGAGCCAACACUGUAUGUCAAGAAACAAGGGACACAAAUACAACUCAUUGUGUCCCUGUAUAUUGAUGAUCUUCUGGUGACAGGAGGAGAUCGAGUAGUGCUGGCUGAUUUUAAGACCAAGAUGCAGGAAGUGUUUGAAAUGUCUGAUCUUGGGGAGAUGUCAUACUUUCUUGGAAUGGAGGUGUCUCAAGUACAGAAUGAGAUAUUUCUAAGCCAGAGAAGCUUUGCCACAAAGAUUCUGACCAAGUUCUCCAUGCAAAACAGCAAGGCAACUAAAACACCUGUUGCUGUUGGAGAAAAACUAUCGGGCCAAGGUGAUUUUAAGAAAGUUUGUGAAACAACCUAUAGGAGUCUAGUUGGUUGCUUGCUAUACUUGACUGCCACUAGACCAGACAUUAUGUAUGCUGUAGGAUUGCUCUCAAGGUUCUUGCAUUGCUGCAAUGAGAAGCAUUUCCAAGCUGCAAAAAGAGUGCCGAGAUAUGUCAAAGGCACUUUAAACUAUGGUUUGAAGUACAGCAAAGAAGGAAAUCUGAAGCUGGUUGGCUACACUGAUAGUGACUGGGCUGGCUCGAUAGAUGACAUGAAAAGCACCUCAGGGUAUGCUUUUAACCUUGGUUCAGCCAUGUUUUGCUGGAGCCCAAAGAAGCAAAGUCUAGUAGCUCAAUCUACUGCUGAAGCAGAGUAUGUGGCAACAGCAAGCGCUGUCAACCAAGCCAUAUGGGUAAGGAAAAUAUUGGCUGACUUGAAUGUGCAUCAAGAGGAAGCUACUGAGAUUUUCUGUGACAACCAAUCUGCAGUAGCAAUUGCUAAAAAUCCAGUGUUCCAUGGAAGAAUAAAACAUUUCAGAAUCAAGUUGCAUGUUGUUCGAGAAAUAGAGCAAGCUCAGGAAAUAAAGCUGAUCCACUGUAAUUCAGAGGAUCAACUUGCUGACAUUUUAACCAAAGCUCUUAGUGUCACAAGGUUCGAAUAUCUAAGAAAGAAGCUAGGUGUUUGCUCCAUGCAAACCAAGGAGGAGUGAUGAAGUUGGUUCAGCAUGCAGCAAACUCGACAGCAUGCAGGCCAUGAAGACCAAGUCAUGCAGGAGCUGCUGGAACGAGCUGAACUAUUCCUAUUUUAUUCAUCUUGUAAUCUUAAGUUAAUGUAAUGUACUUUAGUUCGUUUAGAACUAUGUUAGGUUUAUGAUUGAUGUAAUUUUGAUGACAAUUGAGCUGUUAAGUCAGCUUUGUUUAAGUGUGCAAGCUUAGUUUUUCAAGUUUCAAUGUAUUAGUGGUAGUAGGUGAUGUUUAGGUAUCAUUAUGCAGAUUUUGACAAGCAAAUUGCUUAGUUUAUGUAUUGGCAUUAUGCCAUUGUUCAAC
rnacentral:lncRNA from 1 species